rnacentral:rRNA from 1 species
AUGUACAUUCCUACAACAUAGCGUUAAUGCACUGGAUCCCAUUAGAACUUUGCAGUUAAGCGCGCUCAGGCUAGAGUAGUAUUGGGAUGGGUGUAUGCGCGGGAAAUGAUAGUAUUUUACAUG